rnacentral:rRNA from 1 species
UACAGAGGGUGCAAGCGUUAAUCGGAGUUACUGGGCGUAAAGGGCGCGUAGGCGGAUAUCUAAGUCGGUUGUGAAAUCCCCGGGCUUAACCUGGGAAUUGCAGUCGAUACUGGGUGUCUAGAGUAUGGUAGAGGAAAGUGGAAUUCCCGGUGUAGCAGUGAAAUGCGUAGAUAUCGGGAAGAACACCAAGGCGAAGGCAGCUUUCUGGACCAAUACUGACGCUGAGGCGCGAAAGCGUGGGGAGCAAACAGG